UCAAGAUGAUUUGUUGUCCGACGGAUGGGUCGUGUAUUGUUUCCUAACCGUAAGUCUAUCAGUGUAAAUGAAUUGCUUUUAUCUUCUUAUAUGUUUUUCUUACCAUUUUUAGGAACCGAGAAAGUGAAAACAAGAAGGGACCAUAGGAGCCUUCAAUGUCUGAUAUUUCUAUGAUGAUUGUCGGACGAACUAAGUGGAUGGUCAGGUACAUGGCCAGUAACAUUGAUGAGGGUUUAUAUUUGGAUUGCUAUCAACAAAAAACAAUGCUUCUCAGGCUUCUGAAGUUACAUAAUCCUAUGAAGGAUUCUCUCUAUACUUAUGAUGAUGAGUGGUUCCAAGACGCCCGAGAGUUCUUCAUCAUCUUCUAAUAAUGUUUUCAAGAAUGUUGGUCGUAGUGGAUGAGUGGAUUAUGUACUUGUUUAAGUAUUUUCAACUUUUAUAAUGCAAGACUUUGUUUUAGUAUGUUUGGUUUGGUUAUGGAUUUGGGUGGAUUUCCUUUGUUUUAAUUAAUGGGAUAUUAAUUUACCUUUAAUGAAUGAAUUUUAGUAUUUUAAUUAA